ACAACGCGCACGGCCUGACAUCCCUGGCCAGGCGAGGCCUCACGAAGUGAGUUAGAGGGAAGGAACGGACCUGCGCUCACAGGUGACACACAGGACACACCCUCCCUCCCUGGGGGCCCCCGGCCUCACCUGCGGUCCCAGGUCACAUGCGCCCGCUGGGCUCCGUUGGCACCAGAGCUACUUCAGGAAGACGGAAGAGCCUUUUCCCCUGCAUUUCAAGGAAAAGCUAUUAAAGAAACUCUCACACAAAUAAAUCCUCGCCAUAUGGAAUCUGCAUAAAACCAAGGAAGAAAAGUGGGAUUCUGGAAGAUGCACUGAGAAACCGCUGAAAUGAUGCUGACAGUUACUUUGGAAAGAAAAGAAAGUCUUCCAAGCCGUGGCCUGGCCUGGCGUCCGCAGGGCCCCCCGGAGUUUCUUCUUCUUGGGUGUCAGCGUCCUCGUCCCGGUGCAGACCUGGGCAUCCUCCGGGCUCCGCUCUGUUGAAACCAUGAACCUCGCCAUCUCCAGCCGGUUGAGACGCUACCUCGCCGCCAAAAGGUCCCGGGUGAAGGAGCUGGCCAUUAUCCCCGGGGCUGGUGACCACCAAGAGGCCGCCUGACCGCAUUGCAGUGUUUGGAACAAAGCAAAGCCCACGCAGGCUUCGGCGACGUCAUUCUGAUUCGGCCGCAGCCGCCGGGCCCGGGAGCCCCGCGCUCCCCUCCCCGCCGCCUCCCCCGGGUGCUGGGAACAGGUGACCCUCCCUUUGCACAGGACACGCUCCCUGCAGACCCCUGACUCGCACAGGCUCUGCAGGGGCGCGGGGGGCUCCAGGGGGAGGAGACGGCUCACUGGGCAGAUGGCAGGCAGUCCAGGAACAGGCCACCGUGUGGGAGCUGUGACACACCCUGGGCUGCAGCUUCUCAGCUGGGACACCCCAAGGUGAGCCCAGAAGGACAGGGGAAGGGGAUGGGUGCAGGGAAAGAGGGCCCGGACAAGGGAGAGGCUUGUAUCUCCCACAUCAGGAGCUGGAUCCAGGCACCCAUGACCAUGAACCCAAGAGCCAUUCGUUCCCUUCGGCCACAAAAGUCCUACAAGUUGCAAACAGAAACCCAUCUUCUGUGAAACUGUGCUUCCAGCUCCCGCCUUAAGGAUGGCCACGGGCUUCCAGGAAAGCUGUCUGAAGGGGGCCGAUUCAGCUAGAGAUGGAACAAAGUGACCCGGACAUACACAGAAUUUUUUCCCAUGUAGAUUAUCACAGAACAACGUUCAGUUUUUUUAUCUGAAAAUUAUUUUCAUAAAGAUUGUGAAUUAAAAUCUAGCAUUUCCUCCAAACAGACUAUUAUUUAUUUAAUAGACAAUAGUCCUGCUAUUAUUUAUUAAAUAAUCUACAGUUUCCCUUACUAAUUUGAAUUGAAUCUAGAAUCUCUAGUCUCUGUUAUUAAAAUGCUUUUUGUUCACUCC
rnacentral:lncRNA from 9 species